CCAGUGCAUGCAUAGUCCAGCUGGGCAGCACAGAAACAGCGAGAGGCCACUGGCUCCCAAACCAAAGCUGGGCCCUUCUGGCUUUGGAGGACCCUCUGGGGAUGGCUGUGGUCAGCACAGCUCUUUCCUUCUCUGCUCUCACAGCUGUGGUGCCGGUGGUCUUUGUGAAGCACGGAGACUCCCCCAGUCAAGGCCAACGGCUGGACUCAGCUGCGUCAUCUCCCUCACCCCGAGCUUCCUCUGCUCCUUACUCUUCACUGGCCGUCCCAACACGGCCACCUGCCCCCCAGCAAACCACAUGAGUCGUGUGCACUGUAGCUGCGUCCACAGACUUGCCCUCAUCCCUCACUGUGGUCCUGGCUUUCAAGGCCAUUGCACCUGGGAGGAGACUGAGGUGUUGGCUGGUGUCAGGGCCUCUGCAUCUUUCCCAUUUGCUCCUGAUCCAAGUGACUCUGUCUGCGGGGUCUGGCUGGGAACCUCUCCCCCAUCCACUGCCAGAGGCUCACAUUCUGAGCCCAGAUACAUCCUGGUAGUCUGCGUCCUGGGAUACCUGAGCUCCUUGGCCCUGGGAAGCUUCAGUGUGACUUUCUUGGCCAGGAACCUGUCUGACACCUGCGUGGAGCCAAGUCCCUGACGUUGAGCGAGAGUUCUGCAGUGUCUGGGUCACCUUCCUUCC
rnacentral:lncRNA from 1 species